rnacentral:rRNA from 1 species
UACGUAGGGUGCGAGCGUUUAAUCGGAAUUACUGGGCGUAAAGCGUGCGCAGGCGGUUUUGUAAGCCAGGUGUGAAAUCCCCGGGCUCAACCUGGGAAUGGCAUUUGGGACUGCAAGGCUGGAGUGCGGCAGAGGAGACUGGAAUUCCUGGUGUAGCAGUGAAAUGCGUAGAUAUCAGGAGGAACACCGAUGGCGAAGGCAGGUCUCUGGGCUGACACGUGACGCUCAUGCACGAAAGCGUGGGGAGCAACAGG